CUCUUAUCAAGUCCUGCUGUUGCUCACUGGAAGGUCUUUAUUCUUAUUACAUUACCCAGGAAAAUUCCAAAAACAAGUCUUCACUGUGAUCAUUACGCAGGACUUUCAUGAUAUUGUAUAUCUCUGUCGGGGCCAAGCUUGGAAAAACAGUGAAAUUCAGUGUUUCCACUUAACCACUGGAUGGAGGUCUGUUCAAAGUGACAGAAGAUAUGGGUCACUUUGGAAAAUGAAUGUCAAGUCAGAUCCAAGCCCCAGCCCCCCCAAAAAAAGGAAUUGGGCACAGCAGCUUGCAGUAUGACUGAACUGUGUGUUAAGUGCAGGAUUCCCCCAGGAGAACCUGCUAAGUGCACACAAAAAUGGCCAGGAAGUGACUCCUGUCUUUCUUCCUAUGAGCCACUAAACACAGAGCCUCACUCAGCACAAGCCCAAUGCACAGUAUCAUGAGGGAGUGAUGUAUACUGACCGCACAGAUGAGGUGGGCUCAGUAAUCUGUCUCUGGACCCGGUCCCUGGCUAGAGUGUGGACCUGGUUUUUCUCCAUCUUGGCCUGGGCCUCCAGGGGGAUGUCAGGCGACGUGUGGCUGAUCUUCAUGGAUGAUUCCGGAACAGCCACAGCAAUUGGGGGCGCUGUGGGCUCCUUGACACAGCCAUCCUCGCUGUACUCCCUUUCCUCCCCAUCCACCUGUACAGCAGACAUGCAUUAUUUCAUUUUUGAUGAAUAGUGUUACUGAAAGUCUUAACUUGGGAAGGGGUUUACGCUGCAGUUGGGGGGCUAAAGUAUUGAGUUGAAGGUGUCUUCACAAACUAAUUUGUUUUGUCAUGAUCAGGGUCAUGGCCUCACACACUGCACAUGCGCAGACACAGAGAAGAGGAUAAAGGACCUCCAGGUGACCAGACCCACUCUCUGGCAGCCGUACUGCUCUUGGGAAACAGCGGCUAUGAACAGCUGACUCCAGUCAACUUUGGCAGAAUGACAGAUUCAGCUUGGUAGCUAGCUAGUAACCAUACUACUGUUAACUGCACAUGGUUUCUGUAGUUCUAUGUUCGCAGGCAGAUUUGUCUCAAGUGACCAUCCUGUUGGUUGUACAUGCAUGUAAAUGUCAAUGUGCCGAGGCGCCCA